ACGCGAAAGUUUUCUUCGGAAGAUGAGUAGAGUGGCGCACGGGUGAGUAACGCGUAAAUAAUCUACCCCUGCAUCCGGGAUAACCCACCGAAAGGUGUGCUAAUACCGGAUACGUUCUCUUUAUCGCGAGAUAGAGAGAAGAAAGGUGGCCUCUGAUAUAAGCUACUGUGCGGGGAGGAGUUUGCGUACCAUUAGCUAGUUGGUAGGGUAAUGGCCUACCAAGGCAACGAUGGUUAGCGGGUCUGAGAGGAUGAUCCGCCACACUGGAACUGGAACACGGACCAGACUCCUACGGGAGGCAGCAGUGAGGAAUAUUGCGCAAUGGGGGCAACCCUGACGCAGCGACGCCGCGUGGAUGAUGAAGGCCUUCGGGUCGUAAAAUCCUGUCAGAUGGAAAGAAAUGUUAUAUGGAUAAUACCUGUAUAGCUUGACGGUACCAUCAAAGGAAGCACCGGCUAACUCCGUGCCAGCAGCCGCGGUAAUACGGAGGGUGCAAGCGUUGUUCGGAAUUACUGGGCGUAAAGCGCGCGUAGGUGGUCUGUUAUGUCAGAUGUGAAAGUCCACGGCUCAACCGUGGAAGUGCAUUUGAAACUGGCAGACUUGAGUACUGGAGGGGGUAGUGGAAUUCCCGGUGUAGAGGUGAAAUUCGUAGAUAUCGGGAGGAAUACCGGUGGCGAAGGCGACUACCUGGCCAGAUACUGACACUGAGGUGCGAAAGCGUGGGGAGCGAACAGGAUUAGAUACCCUGGUAGUCCACGCCGUAAACGAUGUCAACUAGGUGUUGGGAUGGUUAAUCGUCUCAUUGCCGCAGCUAACGCAUUAAGUUGACCGCCUGGGGAGUACGGUCGCAAGAUUAAAACUCAAAGGAAUUGACGGGGGC
rnacentral:rRNA from 1 species